rnacentral:tRNA from 1 species
CAUUAAGAAGCUAUGAACCAGCGCUAGCCUUUUAAGCUAGAGACAGAGGAUGCACACUCCCCCUUAAUGA